rnacentral:rRNA from 1 species
GACGAACGCUGGCGGCGUGCUUAACACAUGCAAGUCGAACGGUGAAGCGAGUGCUUGCACUCGUGGAUCAGUGGCGAACGGGUGAGUAACACGUGAGUAACCUGCCCAUCACUCUGGGAUAAGCACUGGAAACGGUGUCUAAUACUGGAUACGACCAACCCUUGCAUGGGGUGUUGGUGGAAAGAUUUAUCGGUGAUGGAUGGACUCGCGGCCUAUCAGCUUGUUGGCGGGGUAAUGGCCCACCAAGGCGACGACGGGUAGCCGGCCUGAGAGGGUGACCGGCCACAAUGGGCCUGAGACACGGCCCAGACUCCUACGGGAGGCAGAAGUGGGGAAUAUUGCACAAUGGGCGAAAGCCUGAUGCAGCGACGCCGCGUGAGGGAUGACGGCCUUCGGGUUGUAAACCUCUUUCAGCAGGGAAGAAGCGAAAGUGACGGUACCUGCAGAAGAAGCACCGGCUAACUACGUG